AAUUCGGCACCUGAUUCAUCAUGGCUUCGGCAGUAAAGAAAAUGCGUGAGGAAGAUGUGGAAAACUAUGACAAGAGACGUUUUUGCAUGGCAAUAUUGGGGCUAAAAGAGCAUCAAAUUCAACAAUCCUCAGAAUCUUCAUGCCUUGCCUGAAACAGAGCUUGCAGUACUGGUAGCAAACCAUUUGAUGGGAAAAUUAGCUAUUUCAUCCUGCUUCUUGGUUGACAAAAAUUGUACUGGAAAAAGAGAUGGAUGUUGUUGUGGAGUCAGAUCGUGUAGAAUGACAGGAGAAUAUGGAGACACGAGUAUUGGAAAUUUGGAGGUGUGGCAUGGACAUUUAGAUAUGAUCGUCAACGAUGAUUUGGCUGUGGGAGCAAUUGAAAAUCCUCCAGACAGCUCAGGAGAAAAAUCCACAGUUGAAGUUAAAGCUAAUUUGCAGAGAAACCCCAAAAUCAUUGCUCAGACUAUUGUGUUUUCUUUUCUACAGAAAAAAAGACACCCAGAGCGUGAACAUUUCUUGACACCUUGCAUUGGAAUUGGAAAUUCAGAAUUGAUAAUUUUGUUUUAUGACUCAGAACAUGAUGUUUUGUUAGAGAGUUCUCGUGUUCCCCUUUUUGAAAGCUCUGUUUCUUGCAAAUUCUCCUACUCUUCAAUCCUUGCAUGCUGGCUUGUAGUAAAUUACAAGAUUUUUUGUUCUGGGUUAGUAGAGGAGUUUAAAAUCUGCAAAAGCAAUUUCUUUUUGCAUGCUAGAGAAAAAAUAAAUAUAUAUAAAGACGAACUCAAAUUUCAGAAUGUAAACAGUUUUCAGUCUAAUGAGCCAAAACUUGUUAAAGUUGCUUCAAAAGUUAAGACUUCUCCACUCAUGCAUGAAACAGAAAAAACCAUAUUAGAAGUCCUCUUGAGUUUAGCUUCAGCAGAUGCUUAUUCCAAUAGUGCAUCAGGCUCAAACUCAAAUUGAAAGCAUAAAAAGAGAGUGAAAAACCAAGUGGUAGUUUCUCCUAAACCACAACAGUAUCAGUAUUUUUAUCACUCGACAAAAACGAAUGUAAAAAUAUGCCCAUGUAAGUGUGUAGAGGAGCACUGAUGGAGGGUGCGUCAAUCAAGACCAAGGGAAUCCCGGGUUUCUUUGGCAGUAAUUAUAAGGACAUAGAUUAUCUACCAUAUGUACCGACAAAGUUAUAUAUCCAUGUGCUUUCUUUUUAUAUGUAUUGUGGACUGCAUUUACACUAUCAAAAUAUUACUGGUAGCAAACAUUUGGGCAUAUAUUGAUCAUGCAAUUAAUGUACCUGCAGAUAAAUGUAGAUUGAUUGGGCCCUAUAUCCCUAAAAUCUUGGUUGCAGAAAAAUCAUAUAAUCAGAUGAAAUUAUUGUGGACUAUGGUAAAUACUGUUACAUGUACAGUGUAUAUACAGAAUAUGUGUAAUACAGUAUAUCUCAAAGCCAAAGACAAUCACACAAUAUUGUUUUUGAGAUGUUUUUUUAUUCAUCAAUAUCUCUGCUCUGUAAAUGGGAGUUUACACCCAUGUGACAAGACAGAAGAUUUUAAAAAAAAAUCUGCAAACAAAAAAACCCAUAUUUGGUACAUACAAAUAACUGAUGAUGAUGAAAGCUACAAAUUGCAAUGUUGCAAAUGUUUGUGCAGUGUACCAUAAUGGACAUCAUCGUCAAUACCAAUAAAAAAAUAAAACAACC
rnacentral:misc_RNA from 1 species